ACUCCUACGGGAGGCAGCAGUGGGGAAUAUUGGACAAUGGGCGCAAGCCUGAUCCAGCCAUACCGCGUGGGUGAAGAAGGCCUUCGGGUUGUAAAGCCCUUUUGUUGGGAAAGAAAUCCAGCCGGCUAAUACCUGGUUGGGAUGACGGUACCCAAAGAAUAAGCACCGGCUAACUACGUGCCAGCAGCCGCGGUAAU
rnacentral:rRNA from 1 species